CUCAGGCUCUGCUUCAACCCUGGGCUCCGGCGGGGGUGGUGCUCUGGUUACUGUUGGGAGCAGGGGAGAGGGACAGUGAGCUAAUGAGCUGCACCAUCACUGCGACAGAACAAGCCAUCUUUGCCAAUCAGGAUCUGCUGCUGGCUUCUGGCCCCUAGCGGCCAACUGUUGAGCCCAGUGUUUCCCAAAACUACCUAAUCCAAAGAGAGAAUAGGGGGGUGGGCUUGCUUUAAAAUAUCAGUGCCAGGGCCUCUUCCCUGGGGAUUCUAAUUCAGCGGAUGUCGACUUUUAACAGCUGCUUGGGGUGAUGGUCUCAUUGCCUCCUGUUCCUCCUCUGUAAAAUGGAGAUGAUAAUGGUACUUCUUGCAGAGGAUCACUGUAAGGAUUAAAUGAGGUGACACAGGUAGUGCUUACAAGAGAGUCUGGGAAACAUGCCACACUCAAUAUUUUGAAGAUUGUUUCCCAGACUUAUCUGAUAAUUGAUCUAGUCCAGUGGUCCCCAAACUGUUUUGGUAAGGAUCACAGGAAGACCUCUUCCUAGGGAAAUCUGACUGGCGGGUCUGCACUGAGUCCCAGGAAUCCUGUUUCCAAGGUGAUUCUUAUCCUCAGAAACACAAGUCCAUCGUAACAUAUCAAACAAAUGGAAACCCCUAUCAGCUUCUGCUUCUCCACACAUGCAUGUCCACAUCCAUACUGUGUUUAAAACACCUAUGCUUGAAGCUGUGUUGUCUGAGCUACAGUUGAGGGCUUGAUGUGGGGAGGAGGGACCUGGUGGAGACAGCAGUCAAGGGACUCUGGCUGGCAGAGGGUUUCAAGCUGGGGGUCAGGCCUGGAUAUCAGCCCUGGCUCAGCCAUCUGCCAGCUGAGUUGUCUGAGCAAGGUAAUGAAACUAGCCUGUUUCCUGGUGUCACACCUGACCCUUCACCUGGGGGCUACUGUGAGGACUCAGCGAGAUCUCAAGGCACACUCGGUGCUGGUUUUAAUAGAGGGGAGAACGUCUGACAGUGUAUUCAUGAGGAAAGGGAGACGGAAGGGAUUGGAGAGAGACUGGAGGAUGAAGGUUGGAGUUGUGUUUGGCACCAGAAUCAAAGGGACUUUGGAGGGAGUGGGAUUAGGAGCUGGGGGUCAGCUGACCUCUCUUCUAAUCUCUCCAGUUUGCCAACGACCUUGUGACCUGAGGCUGGGCUGUGUGUGUUUCCAGUACCGCUACAAGUUCAUAAAACUAUUGGUCAAUGUUUAUUGGUGGUUAUUGGUGACUUUAAGAAUCUCUCUAUUCCUUUGUGUUCUAUUUCUGCUUCCGUGAAAAGGGGGGAUUUCUUCAUAUGGUGAAGAGUAGGGAUCUGAGCCUACUCUGUGACCUUUCAGGAGAAACCCCAGCUGGUCCUUCUUUUGCAACUUCCCCCAGGCUUGCCUUCUUCCCUCUGCUCCUGGAUCGGGUACAUGGGCUGGGAAGGAAGAGCCUGGGGCAGCUUCAGUGAUGAAGCCUCAUCCGGGGUCGCUCCACCGCCUCCCUCACCAGGGCACGGCGGUCGCAGCAGCUGGACAACGGUGACAUUGGUGAGGACGAUGUCGCGUUUCGACAUGGCCUUCUAAAGUUUCAUGGCCCAGCCAGCCGCCCUGGCGCUCGCCGCGAUGUUACUGCUUGACGGGGCUCAGGGCUGGAGGGACCGGAACAUCUUACCGUGACGUCCUGUGACGUCACAGAGGAGCCGGCGUGAAGGCCCAGUCCCAGCCGAGGCACGUGGCCGCGGCCGUGUCCCACCCUUCCAAGACCACCCCUGGCGUCUCGAAUGGAAUCCAGCAUUUUGCACUGAUCUUCAAGGCCCUUUCUCGGUUCGUUCUUCUCCUUGGGCACACGGGCUCUAUGCUCUUCUGGACCCUUCUCUGGAUAGUUAUCCUCGCUAUUUCUUUUUGCCUGGAAGUCCUGUAUUUAUUCAUUCGUUCUGGUAUUCAUUCAAGUUCUUCCCUUGGCAGCCUCUUGGUUUCCCUCAGGUGCCACGCUCUAAGAGAGCUCCUCCUAACUCCACAUCUAAAGUUCUCUCCUUUCUCAGUCACUAUCUGCCAUGACCAUAACUCCUGUCAUCCAGGAAUCUUUGUUUGACUUCCCAUCCUGGGUUACAUAUGAAAAUGUGCCAAACUGCUUUAGGGUUAUACUCUAUAAUUUUCUUUUCCUCCCAGCAUAUCUCUUCUCUAAAGAUCAUUUUAUUUUUCCGUUUUUUUCUUGCAAAUUGUCUCUGCCCAUUAGAGGGCUUGUCUGCCUUUGUCACUUUUAUAUCCCAUUGACUAGAAGAAUGGUACUUAAAAGGUGCUUGCUCAAGAAAUAAUUCCAGGAUGAAUGAAUAAAUGUAACCUUCUGAGGUUUCUUCUGAUGCCCAA